CCCUGCUCUGGAGGCCGAUUCCCUGACAGCCCCCCGCCAUCCCUGCUCAGCUUUUCCUCACCCACUUUGUGGGUGAAGAAACUCAAGCCUGGAGGAGACAAAAAGGCAGCACGACCCGUCCACCAAGACCCGUCCACCAUGCCAGCCUGAUCUCUUCACUCCAUGUCGCCUUCCAAUGGAAAACCAAAGCCUCCUCAAUGUCUCUGAGCCCAGUCCCCUGAGCUGCUCAGCCUCAGCCAUGCCUUCGUCCUCCUGCCCAUGAGCCAUGAACUGUGGCACCCUUGCUGUCAUACCCUCUCUGGUCAAGCCUUUCCACAUCCUCCACCUGCAUGCCAAAGAUGAAGAAGUUCUC